rnacentral:rRNA from 1 species
CCUACGGGAGGCAGCAGUAGGGAAUCUUCGUCAAUGGGCGCAAGCCUGAACGAGCAAUGCCGCGUGAACGAGGAAGGUCUUCGGAUCGUAAAGUUCUGUUGAAGGGGAAAAAGAGCGGAGAGAGGAAAUGGUCUCCGAUUGAUAUUACCCUUCGAGGAAGUCACGGCUAACUACGUGCCAGCAGCCGCGGUAAUACGUAGGUGGCGAGCGUUAUCCGGAAUGAUUGGGCGAAAAGGGUGCGUAGGCGGCCUGCUAAGUCUGGAGUGAAAGGUACCGGCUCAACCGGUACAGGCUCUGGAAACUGGCGGGCUAGAGAGCAGGAGAGGGCGGUGGAACUCCAUGUGUAGCGGUAAAAUGCGUAGAUAUAUGGAAGAACACCAGUGGCGAAGGCGGCCGCCUGGCCUGUUACUGACGCUGAGGCACGAAAGCGUGGGGAGCAAAUAGGAUUAGAUACCCGAGUAGUC